rnacentral:rRNA from 1 species
UACGGGGGGAGCAAGCGUUGUUCGGAUUUACUGGGCGUAAAGGGCGCGUAGGCGGCCUGUGCAAGUCAGUUGUGAAAUCUCCGGGCUUAACUCCGAAACUGCAUUCGAUACUGCCGUGCUUGAGGACUGGAGAGGAGACUGGAAUUUACGGUGUAGCGGUGAAAUGCGUAGAUAUCGUAAGGAAGACCAGUGGCGAAGGCGGGUCUCUGGACAGUUCCUGACGCUGAGGCACGAAGGCCAGGGGAGCAAACGGG